rnacentral:rRNA from 1 species
UACGAGGGGUGCAAGCGUUGCUCGGAAUUAUUGGGCGUAAAGGGCAGGUAGGUGGUCUUAUUUGUCAGGGGUGAAAGCCUUGGGCUUAACUCAAGAAGUGCCCCUGAAACGGUAAGACUAGAGUACUGGAGAGGGUCGUGGAAUUCCCGGUGUAGCGGUGAAAUGCGUAGAGAUCGGGAGGAACACCAGAGGCGAAGGCGGCGACCUGGACAGUCACUGACACUCAACUGCGAAAGCGUGGGGAGCAAACAGGAUUAGAAACCCGAGUAGUCC